GACAGAGGGUGCAAACGUUGUUCGGAAUUACUGGGCGUAAAGCGUGUGUAGGCGGCUAUGUAAGUCGGGUGUGAAAGCCCCGGGCUCAACUCGGGAAGUGCACUCGAUACUGCGUAGCUUGAGUACCGGAGAGGUUGGUGGAAUUCUCGGUGUAGAGGUGAAAUUCGUAGAUAUCGAGAGGAACACCGGUGGCGAAGGCGGCCAACUGGACGAGUACUGACGCUGAGACACGAAAGCGUGGGGAGCAAACAGG
rnacentral:rRNA from 1 species